rnacentral:rRNA from 1 species
CCUACGGGUGGCUGCAGUGAGGAAUAUUGGUCAAUGGCCGGAAGGCUGAACCAGCCAAGCCGCGUGAAGGACGAAGGUGCCAAGCAUUGUAAACUUCUUUUGUCAAGGGACAAAAUCAGGCUCGAGAGCCUGACCGAGGGUACUUGAAGAAAAAGCAUAGGCUAACUCGGUGCCAGCACCCGCGGUAAUACGGAGGAUGCGAGCGUUAUCCGUAUUUAUUGGGUUUAAGGGGUGCGUAGGCGGACUGUUAAGUCUGCGGUAAAAGCCCGGGGCGCAACCCCGGCGAGCCGUUGAAACUGGCUGUAUUGAGAUGUCGAGAGGAAUGCGGAAUGCGCAGUGUAGCGGUGAAAUGCUUAGAUAUUGCGCAGAACUCCGAUGGCGAAGGCAGCAGACCGGCGGCGAUCUGACGCUGAGGCACGAAAGCGUGGGUAUCGAACAGGAUUAGAUACCCCUGUAGUC